GAUGAACGCUGACAGAAUGCUUAACACAUGCAAGUCCACUUGAACUUCGGUUUGGGUGGCGGACGGGUGAGUAACGCGUAAAGAACUUGCCUCACAGUUAGGGACAACAUUUGGAAACGAAUGCUAAUACCUGAUAUUAUGAUUUUAGGGCAUCCUAGAAUUAUGAAAGCUAUAUGCGCUGUGAGAGAGCUUUGCGUCCCAUUAGCUAGUUGGAGAGGUAACGGCUCACCAAGGCGAUGAUGGGUAGCCGGCCUGAGAGGGUGAACGGCCACAAGGGGACUGAGACACGGCCCUUACUCCUACGGGAGGCAGCAGUGGGGAAUAUUGGACAAUGGACCAAGAGUCUGAUCCAGCAAUUCUGUGUGCAUGAUGAAGUUUUUCGGAAUGUAAAGUGCUUUCAGUUGGGAAGAAAAAAAUGACGAUACCAACAGAAGAAGUGACGGCUAAAUACGUG
rnacentral:rRNA from 1 species